rnacentral:rRNA from 1 species
UGCCGGCGACCGGCGCAAGGGUGCGUAACGCGUGAGCAAUCUGCCCGUAUCAGGGGGAUAAAGCGAUGGAAACGUCGUCUAAUACCGCAUAACACCAAUGAUGGCAUCAUCGAUGGUUGAAAGCUUCGGUGGAUACGGAUGAGCUCGCGAGACAUUAGUUAGUUGGCGGGGUAACGGCCCACCAAGACCGCGAUGUCUAGGGGAACUGAGAGGUUGGUCCCCCCACACUGGAACUGAGACACGGUCCAGACUCCUACGGGAGGCAGCAGUGAGGAAUAUUGGACAAUGGCCGGAAGGCUGAUCCAGCCAUGCCGCGUGAAGGAAUAAGGUUCCCUAUGGAUUGUAAACUUCUUUUGUACGAGAGCAAUAAGUGUCACGAGUGACACGAUGAGAGUAUCGUACGAAUAAGCAUCGGCUAACUCCGUGCCAGCCGCCGC